GACGAACGCUGGCGGCGUGCUUAACACAUGCAAGUCGAGCGGUAAGGCCCUUUCGGGGGUACACGAGCGGCGAACGGGUGAGUAACACGUGGGUGACCUGCCUCAGCUCUGGGAUAAGCCUGGGAAACCGGGUCUAAUACUGGAUAUGACUCCAUGACGCAUGUUGUGGGGUGGAAAGCCUUGUGCGGCUGAGGAUGGGCCCGCGGCCUAUCAGCUUGUUGGUGGGGUGANGGCCUACCAAGGCGACGACGGGUAGCCGGCCUGAGAGGGCGACCGGCCACACUGGGACUGAGACACGGCCCAGACUCCUACGGGAGGCAGCAGUGGGGAAUCUUGCGCAAUGGGCGAAAGCCUGACGCAGCGACGCCGCGUGAGGGAUGAC
rnacentral:rRNA from 1 species